AGUUUGAUCCUGGCUCAGGAUGAACGCUAGCGGAGGCCUAACACAUGCAAGCCGAGCGGUAUUUAUUCUUCGGAAUAGAGAGAGCGGCGUACGGGUGCGGAACACGUGUGCAACCUGCCUUUAUCAGGGGGAUAGCCUUUCGAAAGGAAGAUUAAUACCCCAUAAUAUAUCUGAUGGCAUCAUUAGAUAUUGAAAACUCCGGUGGAUAGAGAUGGGCACGCGCAAGAUUAGAUAGUUGGUGAGGUAACGGCUCACCAAGUCAGUGAUCUUUAGGGGGCCUGAGAGGGUGAUCCCCCACACUGGUACUGAGACACGGACCAGACUCCUACGGGAGGCAGCAGUGAGGAAUAUUGGACAAUGGGUGCGAGCCUGAUCCAGCCAUCCCGCGUGAAGGACGACGGUUCUAUGGAUUGUAAACUUCUUUUAUACUGGGAUAAACCUACUUACGUGUAAGUAGCUGAAGGUACAGUAUGAAUAAGCACCGGCUAACUCCGUG
rnacentral:rRNA from 1 species